CGGCGAACGGGUGAGUAACGCGUGGAUAACCUGCCCUGAGGUGGGGGAUAACCAAGGGAAACUUUGGCUAAUACCGCAUGAUACCGAGAGGUCAAAGGGGGCUCGCAAGAGCUCUCGCCAUAGGAGGGGUCCGCGUCCGAUUAGCUAGUUGGUAGGGUAAUGGCCUACCAAGGCGACGAUCGGUAGCCGGCCUGAGAGGGUGAUCGGCCACACUGGAACUGAGACACGGCCCAG
rnacentral:rRNA from 1 species